rnacentral:rRNA from 1 species
CGGUGAAAUGCGUAGAGAUCUGGAGGAAUACCGGUGGCGAAGGCGGCCCCCUGGACGAAGACUGACGCUCAGGUGCGAAAGCGUGGGGAGCAAACAGGAUUAGAUACCCUGGUAGUCCACGCCGUAAACGAUGUCGACUUGGAGGUUGUGCCCUUGAGGCGUGGCUUCCGGAGCUAACGCGUUAAGUCGACCGCCUGGGGAGUACGGCCGCAAGGUUAAAACUCAAAUGAAUUGACGGGGGCCCGCACAAGCGGUGGAGCAUGUGGUUUAAUUCGAUGCAACGCGAAGAACCUUACCUGGUCUUGACAUCCACGGAAGUUUUCAGAGAUGAGAAUGUGCCUUCGGGAACCGUGAGACAGGUGCUGCAUGGCUGUCGUCAGCUCGUGUUGUGAAAUGUUGGGUUAAGUCCCGCAACGAGCGCAACCCUUAUCCUUUGUUGCCAGCGGUCCGGCCGGGAACUCAAAGGAGACUGCCAGUGAUAAACUGGAGGAAGGUGGGGAUGACGUCAAGUCAUCAUGGCCCUUACGACCAGGGCUACACACGUGCUACAAUGGCGCAUACAAAGAGAAGCGACCUCGCGAGAGCAAGCGGACCUCAUAAAGUGCGUCGUAGUCCGGAUUGGAGUCUGCAACUCGACUCCAUGAAGUCGGAAUCGCUAGUAAUCGUGGAUCAGAAUGCCACGGUGAAUACGUUCCCGGGCCUUGUACACACCGCCCGUCACACCAUGGGAGUGGGUUGCAAAAGAAGUAGGUAGCUUAACCUUCGGGAGGGCGCUUACCACUUUGUGAUUCAUGACUGGGGUGAAGUCGUAACAAGGUAACCGUAGGGGAACCUGCGGUUGGAUCACCUCCUUACCUUAAAGAAGC